rnacentral:rRNA from 1 species
CGGAGGAUCCAAGCGUUAUCCGGAAUUACUGGGCGUAAAGAGUUGCGUAGGUGGCAGGGUAAGUAGAUAGUGAAAGCGUGUGGCUCAACCAUACUCACAUUAUCUAAACUGCUCAGCUAGAGUGUGAGAGAGGUACCUGGAAUUCUCAAUGUAGGAGUGGAAUCCGUAGAUAUUGGGAGGAACACCGAUGGCGUAGGCAGGGUACUGGCUCAUUACUGACACUAAGGCACGAAAGCGUGGGGAGCAAACGGGAUUAGAUACCCCGGUAGUCCACGCCGUAAACUAUGGAUGCUAGCUGUUAGAAGUAUCGACCCUUCUAGUAGCGAAGCUAACGCGUUAAGCAUCCCGCCUGUGGAGUACGAGCGCAAGCUUA